rnacentral:sRNA from 1 species
UCAAAAAAAAAAAAAAUGAAGAAAAGAAUGAGCAAAUCACAUUAACAAAAAUGAACUACAAUCUAUGGGGUUCCUGCGAGUCGGUGGAGAUUCAUGGAUUUCUGAGAUGAUAGCUUUUCACUAGAAAAAGACCCCCACAAUGGUUGCUGCACGAGGCCACCAAAAGUGUGUCUGGCCCGAACAUGCUGUGCCACCUGAAAAGUUCCUGGAACUGUGGCAUUGGACCCCUGCCCAGAAACAAUAACCCGAAGCUGGCAUAAAGUUCAGGCCUUAACAAGAUGGAACAAAAGGCUGUCUGGCUGGAUUGGAUUGGAUUGGGAGCUGAUGCUGAUGGUGAUGACUGUCAGUAGCCGAGUCGGGAGAUGGUAAGUUUCCGCGGAGGUGGCCAGGGUAAGAAGGCCAAAACGCGACGACAACUUGGCUGACAAGCGGGCGAAUGCAAAUAAGUCUCGUAGCCGGCUCAUUUCUGCUGAAUUCACUAAACUCCGGACUGCUGAUUUCCACCUUUUGGCUUGAUUUAUCUGGCAUUUUAUUGGCCAGCGCCAUUUGCCUUCGCCUCGACGGCCUAGACCAUAAUUUACGCAUCCUCCUGCCAAUGUAUGCGUUUGCUGUUUUUCUUGCCAUUCUUUUUAGGCCCGGCCUAAUAAAGUUCUCUCAGGUGUGAAAAGGCCUCCACUUGCAUACGAGGCAGCUUAAUUGAUGACAACAUCUUGGAAUUUUCGUUGGUAUUCCAAUCCGAAGUUGUCGCCAGUCCGCCAGUUCUUCGUCGAUUGCCUUUUGCUCUUGGGCCCAGCUGUUAGCGCUGACUUGGCUCUUUAACCGCUUGGCUGCUUGGCUGGCCAACUGAAAUCAGUUAAAUAAUGAAACAUUUGCACGAUACUGGCGAAUCGGAAUCGAAAUCGUAUCGCGCGCCAACUCGAGCCAGGCUUUUUGGCCAAGGAUAGGGAACUGAAAACUGGCUAAAACGGCCAGCUCAACGGCAGCGAGCAGCAACAAUCAGCACAAUCCGCAGUUGUAUGGUGCUACAUAUCGUACAAGAUUUCCGGGAAUUGAAAACUGCUAAAAAUCGUGUUUGAUUUUAUACGUUGCUGUUGUUGUCCCGCUCCUUAUGCAUGCAAUUUGGGGGGGAUUUCGUUCGGUGGAGAAAGAAGGGACCUGCAGCAUCUACGAUACGCGUCGUGGUUCAACAUGCAAUCGCAACAAACGAAAGCAGCUUGUUAACUAAUUAAAACCAAAAUAUAUGCAAAUCAAAGGCCCCAAAAAGAACCCAAAAGGAGUCCUCAUCGUCCUCUGCCUUUAUCCAUCCUUAUUUUUUUCUCUCUCUGGAUCUGAGCUCAGCUACUGUUUUGCGUUGGAGUGGAAGUUCUGCCUGCUUUCCUCGCCUUUUUGUCAGCGAUCUGUUUCUUUUUUUUUCGGGGGCAAUUAAGCGGAGACAACGAAGAGUCGCUGCCAUAAUGCUGCAAAAUCGAGAACUAAAUAGCACAAAGAGCAUUGUGCAAAAAUUAAUUGCAACAUUUUGAGCAGGGACCACCGCCACCGCGCCCCCUUUUUUUCCUCUCUCGUGGAUCUUGCUCCAAAUGCAAUCAAUUCAGUAUGGAUUUCUGGCGAAGCAAUCGAUGCGGAUUUACGAGUCGCCUGCAUUUUGCCUUUUCCAGCCAGCCAUUUGGCCCAUUGUCGAGUGUCCCCCAGAGGGCUCCAAGAUGAACCUGCACGGGGAGAAAAACUACUGCAGUUGGGCAUCAAUUUCGAGUGUAAACUCACUUUUUAUUACGAUACAAAGCAACUUGUGGUUUUUUUUGUAAAUAGUACUUGGCUAUAAUCGAAACAUUUUGUUAUCAGUGUAAUGAUAUGGUGGUGGGUGAGCAGCUCCAUCCGCCGUCGUGGUCUUGUGUCUCUGGCUUAGGUGCGGACAUAUGUAAAACAAGCCAUGAAACAACCGGCUGGGAGCAGGACACUCCGCGUUCGCAUUCUCAUUCGGAUUGAGAUUCAGUUUCGGAAGUGAAAUUUAUUUUGCAUACGAGCCUUCGCCCCACAGAGGAGCCAUUGUCUUUUGUUUGGCCACAACGAUGCGGAUGGUGGAGCGAGCACGCUGUGGGGUCACCGGCAAGUGCUCCUGGGAAACUUUUCGCUCGGCGCAUAUAUCAGGAAUGGGUUGCAGGAGCCAGGAGCAGCCGUUCGAUUGUCACUGGGAAAUUAUCCAAUUUUGUGGUUUGCAUUCAAAUUGAGCACCGCCGGCUGUCAAUUUACCAAAGGUCCAGCAACCAAGGAGCAUACCUUCGUUCUGCAGAAGGGUUAUUGGAAAGGAAGAGGACUCCGUCUCGGUGGCGGAUUCGGACGAGUAGCUGUCAUGUUGAUGAAUGCAAUUGGCAAUUGCCCCCGGAGCGCUGGUGGUCCCAAUUCGCUUCGGUUUAGUUGGGUUUUUAGCUGCGCUCGGGGUUCAGCCCGAAAUCAUAAUCGCGAUCUGGCCGCGAUCCCGAUUUCGAACCCUUUAUUGCCUGCUUCCGGAUAUCCAAGACCAUAAAAUGCAUGGCCAACGCUGUUUAUUAAUUGCAUCAAGAUCAACUCGCAAACGCCGUCAGCAUUAAGCCCAAAAGAAAAGCAUAAACAAAAACCUAAAACGAAACAACAUUUUGAUAAGAAAUUUCACUAAUGAGUAUUUACCUUUUG